rnacentral:rRNA from 1 species
AACGGGUGAGUAAUACAUCGGAACGUGCCCGAGAGUGGGGGAUAACGAGGCGAGAGCUUUGCUAAUACCGCAUACGAUCUCAGGAUGAAAGCAGGGGACCGCAAGGCCUUGCGCUCACGGAGCGGCCGAUGGCAGAUUAGGUAGUUGGUGGGAUAAAAGCUUACCAAGCCGACGAUCUGUAGCUGGUCUGAGAGGACGACCAGCCACACUGGGACUGAGACACGGCCCAGACUCCUACGGGAGGCAGCAGUGGGGAAUUUUGGACAAUGGGCGCAAGCCUGAUCCAGCCAUGCCGCGUGCAGGAUGAAGGCCUUCGGGUUGUAAACUGCUUUUGUACGGAACGAAAAGACUCUGGUUAAUACCUGGGGUCCAUGACGGUACCGUAAGAAUAAGCACCGGCUAACUACGUGCCAGCAGCCGCGGUAAUAC